CAGUGUUUGCUUAAAGAUAACAAAGAGACAGUUAUCACUCAAAGCCAGCCUGCAAAGCACAGAAGUACUGAAGUACAAGCUUUCAGCAAAUAAUGCUGCUCCAAGUGGAUAUUACUGGUAUGUGCCUUUCUACACCUUCUGAGCCAACACUCAGCACGCCAAGCACUAGGAUUACAGAUUCUAGCAGAGAUUUUGAGAAGUGAGGAGAUAAAAAGUCUUUUUCAGACUAAGGUGGUGCAGCCCUAGGGCUGUGGCUAGACAGGGGCUGUCUGCUGGUGUGAGUAGAGGGGGCUACACCCAGGCAUUAUGGGGACAGAGACUGGAUUUGUGGCCAUGGACAGCAGGAAAACAAGAGGCAAAGAGAGGCAGAUGCCAUGCCUCAACAACUGUUGAGGGGUCCAGGCUUGCUGUCAAAGGAUCUGCCAGUUCUGCACUGAAAUUUUGAGUGAAGUCUUGCUGGAUAAAGUAACUUAAAAUCAAUGGAAAUUCUGGUUUAAAGGCAGCAGAUGUAUGUUUUACUGAAAAUUAUUCAGAACCACAUGUUGGGCCCUACCAUCUGCUAAAUUUGGAUAUGAUGUCUGCAAAGCUGGUGUGGAAAUAACACAAAACGAAACUCUGCCUUCGGGAGAGAAACUACCAAUGCCUUUGUAGCUACAACUGUCUCCCACAGAAAAUUACCUUUCUUAUUUUGUGAAAUAUGUACCCUCUCCAUACAAAUGUAAGCUAAAGUUAAAUUUCAGCACUCAGAGCUCGAUUUUAUCUGAAAUCCCUGUUAAAAUGUCUCAGUACUUGAAUGGAAAAGAGCCUGAGGACUCUGGUCUAAUAAGACCUGCUUUGAGCAUGGAAUUGGACCAUGGACCUUCAUAGGUCCUUUUCAACCUGUGUGGCUGUAGAAUCAAAAUUAUUACAUCUGUGCGGAUGCAUGAACAUGGAAGUAACUUUUUUUGUCAAAUAUGGUAAGGAAAGAUGGAUUUGCCAGUCAGGAAUACAGACAGAGAAAACAGACAACAGAGUUUUACUAGAAAGGUUAUUUAUUUUGUAGAAAGUUUGCUUGUAAAUAACUAUUAAAAAAAAAAAAUUCAGCCUGCAUCCAGACAAAUUGCUGUUGAAAUACCCAGUCUGAAAAUUCACAGCUGGAAGGAAGGCUUUUCCCUUCUCUUAAAAUGCAGUGUCUUCUCACUAAUUCAUUGAUACCUACUGUAGUUAGAAAAUCCUCUUGUGCUUCUAAUCUAAUAGAAACCUAUAAUUUUAUGUCCUGUGUUCUGUCAGAAUAAUGCUUAUGUUGGACAUGUCUUGGAAACAAAUGUAGCUUUGGUCUAAUUUAAUAACUUGCCUUGGACAAUAAAGCCUUGAGUUCUGCUGCAGGCCCAUCAAGAAAGAAUCCUCUUGUGCAAGCAGCCGUUGCUAUGUUCAAAAAUAGUCUCCAAACUACUGGGAAUGAACCAACACCCAAGAAAAAUGACACUGUUUAAAAAUUAGUCACUAAGUCCAUUUUAAACUGAAUGAAACCAAAAUCCUAAGGCCACAAUUCAAAGAGCUAAUGCUAUGCCUUGAACUUAUAUAGCCUGUGAUACAGCAAGUCAGCUCCACUCUCCCCUGGUAGAAAAGAGAGGGAAAAGGCUUUUGUGUGUUUGAAACUGCCUUUUUAGCCUGAACUGCAGAACAAAAUCCAACAGGAAUUAAGAAUUCACAGUAACCUCCCAUUUUCUGUUCCAAGGGCGAUGUACACUUCUCUGACUUGUGGCACAGAAAAGAGGAACAAAAAUCAUUCUACAUGUGAUGGGUCAGAGGCAGCAGCAACAGAAGGAGUCCUUGCCUGAGAUGACCCACUGGCAGGGUGGGCACUGCCCAAGCACCAGUAACUCAGAAACAGCUCCGAGCAGGCUCAGUAAAAGCAGAGCCUCUGUUGUGAAGGUGAGUUGUGCACUUAGGAAAAUAAUUCCAGAAGGACAUAAAGAAUUUAUUAACUUGCUUCUUGCACAAAAGAGUUUUUUCUCCACUGGUUUAUCUGAAACUCUCACACUUGCAAGUUCAAGCCCUAGGCCCUCCGCAUAUUGUUUUGUCUCCACGUCAACUUAUCUCUAAUGACCUGAAAAUUCUCUUCUUGUUUAGAAGGGAUGCCUCACAUUAGUGUUUUCAAUUUUCAGCUCUGAGGCUAAGGGAAAUUAUUGACCUCCCCUGGACUUUUGGGAUGACAAAGUACUACUGUACAAACAAGGAAAAUAUCUUUGAAACAAAUGGAUGAAUCAUUUUCCCACAUCAAAACAUUUAUUAACUGUAUAUAGUUCAUUGGUUUCUUUUCUAAGACAUCUUUCUUUUCCCUCCUUCUUUUUUCUUUCCUUGACCCAUUUAUUGUACAUUGCUGUGAGAUCUUUUUUGCAAGAAUGAAUAUGAAUGGGCCCUCAUGAAAAAAACAGGGCACUGUUCUGGAUUUGUAUAGCACAAAGAUAUAAAAGAGUGAAGAGAAAAAGAGUGCCAGCAGUAAAACAUUCAGAGCUGAAGAUGCAGAAAUACGUUGCAUAUGCAGGCACUUAGUGAAAUAAAUACAUGACAAAGCUCAAAUCCUGUCAUCCUGACCCUGUGUAAAGCCUGAGAAGAGGUUUGCCCAUCUGCCUCGGUAUCCUCAGAGUUUUCAGCAGCUGGGAAUUUUACCUGUGCCAUUUUUCCACUGUCCUCUGGCAGGAGAGGUGGUUUGCCUUUGGAAUGACAUGGAAUCCACCAGCAGUUUUUACUUACCUCUGAUUUUCAAAGCUGUCUUGAAAAUAUCCCAGCUGAUUACCGCAAGAGCAAAGCAGUGCUCUGACGCCGUUCCUCUGCUAACCUGCACUAUGUGUUUGUGUUGUGUAACUGGUACCUGCUGGGUCCUGAUAGAUGAAGGUUUGGCAUUUUCUUUGGUUUCAUCUCUCAGGAGUUUUAUGUCUUUCACACCUAUAACCAGACCUGUUAAGGCAUAAAUCACCUGGGAGAGACCUGCAGGAAGAAAAUUCAAAAAAGAGCUCUUCCAUCACCAAUAUAAAAAACCCCAAAGAACUAAACUCAAUAAAAAAUAUUGUCUGUGGUUCACUCUAAACUUAGGACUGUGGUUUUAAAAACAGUUCAACCUAAUUCCAUGUAUAAGUGGAAUUUGAUGCAAAGCCUGAGGUGGGCUUUUCAUUAGGUAUACAUACUUUUUGCCUGUUUUCAAUCUGUAUGAGAUCUUUUGUCACCUGCAUGGUUUUAUAUUUAACUGUGCCCACAUACCUGGUACAAAGUACCUAUCCAAAUGCCUAACCACCAGGGCACACAAAGUUAAUGGGUCACUGUUAGAGUGGCCCCUUGAUGUGCUGUGCUAUUGGUUCCUGUCCUUGCAAACAGAUAACAGGUGUUCUGCUUCCUGCCAGGAGCAGCGAAUGAGCCACUCAGGCUGAGAUGGGAAUUACAGCUCCAGAAUGGCCAAGGAUCCUGAACAACAGAUGCACCUGAUCUAAUCUUUCCUUUGUCUCGGUGCUGGUAGGAAGGCAAGGUUGGUGCUUUCAAACCCUCUUCUCAUUGCCUGGAAAGACUGGUGAAAAAACUACCUGUGCUCCAGAAGAUGAUUAAGAGACCGGAGCAUCUCUCUUAUGAGGAAAGGCUGAGGGAGCUGGGCCUGCUCAGUGUUGAGAAGAGAUGGCUGAGAGGGCACCACAUUAACGUCUGUCAGUGUCUGCAGGGAGGGGUCAGAAGACGGACCGGGCUCCUCUCAGGGGUG